UCCACUCUGUGGCUGUGGCACCUACACGGGACUGCCAUCUAGAAAUCAGGGAGGCAUCCGGUGACCAUACAUAGCCUCACUUUCAUCUCUGACCACAUCAGCCUCCUUGUUGGCAUCUCAACCCCUCUUGACGUGUGGAUUCUUCCUUGGUCAUGAAAGAUUCUCUUGUAGAGCCAAUAAAAAACUUUCCUUCCAGUGAAGAGACAAUAAUCUAUGCCUAAAGGCCUCCUUAAAUUCCUGGGGGAAUCGAAAUGCCAGUAGUGGAGUUGUUCAGCCCUCUUGGUUUCCCAGAACUCAGUUUCUCUGAACACUGGUAGGUUCUAAAAGCAAAACACUCAGGGUGACCACAGGUCUGUGUCCUGCCCCUGGGGACCUGCUACUACCUCAUCUCCCUGUGUUCUGUUGACCCAUUACAGUAGUUGACAGGGUCUCCCUUAGAGACACUGAUGACAAACAGACAACCAGAUAGACAGAGAAAAAGAAGGGAACCAGAUUGAACCACACAGGCGUGCUCCAUGGAGGUAGCUAGAAGGACACUGAAAAGAGCUUCCCGACAUCCCAGAAGGUACUCCCAAAACUUCAUCCCCGUUGUCCUCUCUGGGUCCUAUCCAUGGGAACUUGGAGUUACUACCUUGCCUUGGUAGGCUACAGAAGAGUGCAGAAGAUCUGUCCUGAGACCCUGGGGCUUCCAACACACAACACACAAGACAGAAGGCCAAGGCCACAGCUGUGGUCUCCAGGGGGCAGGAGACACCAUCCCUUCUCCUGAGACAUGGGUCGGACACAGUGCUACGUUGUCAGGUCAGCAAUGUGUGUCCAAACUCUCUCUGUGGGCAGCUGGCUUCUUAUAUUCACUAUUUUCUUCCACCCCAGCUUAACUUCGAUUUUAAUUACCAGCCUUUGUUGGUAGUGGUUGUAUAUAUUCUCUGUGAUAAAGCACUUUGGCAUCACUAUUUUGUGUUAUCUGCCUGGUCUUGGCCUCAGUCAAUGGUUAACUUGGCACCUAGUUAGAGCAGAAAACAGAGCAAGACCCCAUCUCUGUAACAAGAGAUCCUCGAGCGAUCACUCUGCAGGCAUUUGGCCAUCUCCAGGGUGACCUCCAUCUCAGCCUCUGGAGAGGAGCUCUGUGAAUGGGCCAUUCUCACUGGUCCCACUAGAAGAUAGCCUUAGCUGUCUUCUGCCCACUAGAAGAUAGCCUUAGCUUCUGUGGGAUCAGUGACACCUCCAUCACCUCCUCCAGCAGCAGGUGGGGUGAGCCUGCCCGCCUUGAGAGGCACUAGAGAAGAGCUCUGUUAGGCCAUCAGACAUGCAAAUCAGCUCCAAGGAGACCUGUGCUUAUUUAACCCUGGGACAUGGGCCCCUGUUCCAGAGCAGCCCUGACAAUUAUCUACCUGUCCAGCCCUCUUGCCUUUUGGUCCAGAAACAGCAGGUUCAGGGGACACUCCAAGAUGAGCUUCCAGACCCAGCUCUUCUGUCUCCUGGUGAUGGGCUUUCAGGGCAGCGGAGGGUGGCACGUCCUGACUCAGGCCCCAGAGACCCUGGCAGCAUCUCGGGACAGCUUUGUCUCCAUCACCUGUAGAAGCAGCACGGAGGUAGGUACCUCCAUGGCGUGGUACCAACAGAAACCCAAUGAGGCUCCCAGGCUGCUCAUCUUUGGGGCGUCUGCCCGGGCCGCCGGAACCCCGUCCAGGUUCCGGGGAAGUGGCUCUGGCUUGGACUUCUCCCUCACCAUCCACGGAGUGGAGGCUGAGGACAUCGGGAUAUAUUACUGUCAGCAGCACUUCAGCUGGCCUCCCACGGUGACACGUCCCCACACCCAAAUCCCCUGUCUGGGUCGUGGAUGCCAGUUCUCAAAGCAAGACACCUGCUUCCUGCAGGAGGCCACGGCGUGAGAGGUGUGAUGUGCCUGUAUUUGAGA